rnacentral:rRNA from 1 species
CAGUAGCCGCGGGAAUACAGAGGGUGCGAGCGUUAAUCGGAUUUACUGGGCGUAAAGCGUGCGUAGGCGGCUUCUUAAGUCGGAUGUGAAAUCCCUGAGCUUAACUUAGUAAUUGCAUUCGAUACUGGGAAGCUAGAGUAUGGGAGAGGAUGGUAGAAUUCCAGGUGUAGCGGUGAAAUGCGUAGAGAUCUGGAGGAAUACCGAUGGCGAAGGCAGCCAUCUGGCCUAAUACUGACGCUGAGGUACGAAAGCAUGGGGAGCAAACAGGAUUAGAUACCCCGGUAGUCCCUGUCUCUUAUAA